UACAGAGGUCUCAAGCGUUGUUCGGAUUCAUUGGGCGUAAAGGGUGCGUAGGUGGCGCGCUAAGUCAGGUGUGAAAUUUCGGAGCUUAACUCCGAAACUGCAUUUGAUACUGAAGAUCUUGAGUCCGGGAGAGGUGAGUGGAACUGCGAGUGUAGAGGUGAAAUUCGUAGAUAUUCGCAAGAACACCAGUGGCGAAGGCGGCUCACUGGCCCGGUACUGACGCUGAGGCACGAAAGCGUGGGGAGCAAACAGG
rnacentral:rRNA from 1 species